UACGUAGGGGGCAAGCGUUGUCCGGAAUUAUUGGGCGUAAAGAGCUCGUAGGCGGUGUGUCGCGUCGGCCGUGAAAACCUGGGGCUCAACUCUGGGCGUGCGGUCGAUACGGGCAUCACUGGAGUUCGGCAGGGGAGACUGGAAUUCCUGGUGUAGCGGUGAAAUGCGCAGAUAUCAGGAGGAACACCGGUGGCGAAGGCGGCAUCCUGGACCAACACUGACGCUGAGUGAGCGAAAGCCAGGGGAGCAAACGGG
rnacentral:rRNA from 1 species